rnacentral:rRNA from 1 species
UACAGAGGUCUCAAGCGUUGUUCGGAUUCAUUGGGCGUAAAGGGUGCGUAGGUGGCGCCGUAAGUCAGGGGUGAAAUUUCGGAGCUUAACUCCGAAACUGCAUUUGAUACUGCGGUGCUUGAGGACUGGAGAGGAGACUGGAAUUCACGGUGUAGCAGUGAAAUGCGUAGAUAUCGUGAGGAAGACCAGUGGCGAAGGCGGGUCUCUGGACAGUUCCUGACACUGAGGCACGAAGGCCAGGGGAGCAAACGGG